rnacentral:tRNA from 1 species
AAAGCAAAGCACUGAAAAUGCUUAGAUGGACUUUCACAGGGUCCCAUAAACA